rnacentral:ribozyme from 12 species
UAAAAAUAAUAUGGAUAAGAAAAAAAAUGGAAAGAUCUGGGGCCUGAAUGAUGUUGCCAUUUUUUUUUUUUUUUUU